UACGGAGGGUGCGAGCGUUGUCCGGAAUCACUGGGCGGAAAGGGCGCGUAGGCAGCCUGGUAAGUAGGGGGUGAAAUCCUGCGGCUUAACCGCAGGGCUGCCUUCUAAACUGUCAGGCUCGAGCACGGUAGAGGCAGAUGGAAUUCCCGGUGUAGCGGUGGAAUGCGUAGAGAUCGGGAAGAACAUCAGUGGCGAAGGCGGUCUGCUGGGCCGUUGCUGACGCUGAGGCGCGACAGCGUGGGGAGCAAACAGG
rnacentral:rRNA from 1 species